rnacentral:rRNA from 1 species
GAUGAACCGGUUUCGGCCGGGGAUUAGUGGCGAACGGGUGAGUAACACGUGGGCAAUCUGCCCUGCACUCUGGGACAAGCCCUGGAAACGGGGUCUAAUACCGGAUAUGACCACCGGCCGCAUGGUCUGGUGGUGGAAAGCUCCGGCGGUGCAGGAUGAGCCCGCGGCCUAUCAGCUUGUUGGUGGGGUGAUGGCCUACCAAGGCGACGACGGGUAGCCGGCCUGAGAGGGCGACCGGCCACACUGGGACUGAGACACGGCCCAGACUCCUACGGGAGGCAGCAGUGGGGAAUAUUGCACAAUGGGCGCAAGCCUGAUGCAGCGACGCCGCGUGAGGGAUGACGGCCUUCGGGUUGUAAACCUCUUUCAGCAGGGAAGAAGCGCGAGUGACGGUACCUGCAGAAGAAGCACCGGCUAACUACGUGCCAGCAGCCGCGGUAAUACGUAGGGUGCGAGCGUUGUCCGGAAUUAUUGGGCGUAAAGAGCUCGUAGGCGGCCUGUCGCGUCGGAUGUGAAAGCCCGGGGCUUAACCCCGGGUCUGCAUUCGAUACGGGCAGGCUAGAGUUCGGCAGGGGAGAUUGGAAUUCCUGGUGUAGCGGUGAAAUGCGCAGAUAUCAGGAGGAACACCGGUGGCGAAGGCGGAUCUCUGGGCCGAUACUGACGCUGAGGAGCGAAAGCGUGGGGAGCGAACAGGAUUAGAUACCCUGGUAGUCCACGCCGUAAACGUUGGGCACUAGGUGUGGGCGGCAUUCCACGUCGUCCGUGCCGCAGCUAACGCAUUAAGUG